rnacentral:rRNA from 1 species
CACGUAGGAGGCGAGCGUUGUCCGGAAUCAUUGGGCGUAAAGAGCGCGCAGGCGGCUUGGCAAGUCGGGUGUGAAAACCCGGGGCUCAACCCCGGGCCUGCAGUCGAUACGGGCAGACUAGAGUGCGGUAGGGGAGACUGGAAUUCCUGGUGUAGCGGUGAAAUGCGCAGAUAUCAGGAGGAACACCGGUGGCGAAGGCGGGUCUCUGGGCCGUAACUGACGCUGAGGAGCGAAAGCGUGGGGAGCGAACAGG